UGUACGAUUGGUCAUUUUAAGUAAAAAAAAGUGUGAAUCAUUUUUUGUGCAAGAAAUUCAACCCAACGAACAUUUUGCAUAAUCUACCUUUAAAAGAAUUAUGCAUAGAUACUGUCUCGGUGGAAUUUGUUGCACAAUAUCAUUUAUCUCAGUGUGGAGAUACACUGAUAUAUCAAAGAAAAUAAAUGGUGUAAUACACAUUGAUAUACAUAUGUAUGUAAACGAGAUACAAUAUGGAUGUAACGACUUAUUUUCGUCGUUAUAGAAAAACCAAUGGAGAAAGAGAUUGGGCAAGAAAACUUUUGAGCAGUGAGUUAGAAAAUUGUAGCCUAGUCCAGAUUUGGACGAAAUCUGAGAUAGGUAAGGUCUUGGGAAAUUUGAUAAUGAAUGGGGGAUCUGAUUGUGUUGAUCACUUGAUUGGAUAGUCAAGACGUUAAGGAGCCUGUACGACUUUAGGAAUCGAAUUCGGGCUGAAAGAUCUUGGCGUGAAAGGGUAGUUUCUGAACGUCAAGGGUCGAAGACAUGUUGUGAACUGGAAUCUUGGAACUCAAAUUUCGAGCUUCUGUCUCCGUGCAAGUCGCCAGGGCAGGUUUAAUUCUGUCAGGGCGGGGCCGCGGUGGUUGGAUGAGAUCUGCCGUAGUGGGCCAGUCGCUACUUCAGUUGGGGGAAUAAUCUCAAAAUCGUUAUUUUCUACAAACCUUCGUUCUUGAGAGCUAAGAGACGACCACAGGCUAUUUCUUGACAAUUCCCAUGACUUUUAGCGCUAAAGGCAGCUAUUGACGCUCAGCUAGGCAAUAACUGAUAGAGACUUGAUUCAAGGGUGAGCUAGUUCUUCCAGGUUGCAAUGGAUCCUCCUUAUUUAGUCCACUCUUUUCGGGCUCAGAUUAUUUAUUUAGGCUGUUAGUUUUAGCUUUCGGGUUUGCAUCCCUUUGUUUGUAGACUUGUUGAUCAUUAGAGUUUUGGUAUAAUGACUUUCAGUUCUAUGGGUUGAA